rnacentral:lncRNA from 1 species
AGAAAAAGUGUAUCGAAGAAGACUGAGGAGCCACGCUGGUGAAGACCGAGGAGAAAUGCCGGAGACGACAGGAGCUACGCCGGAUAUGGUCGAGGAGCUGGCCGGAGAGAAGAGAAACGAAGAGGAUUGGACGGACAUUAGGUUUAAUUUGGUUUUAGCUUUUUGGUUUAGUUUCUUAAACCACUUUAAUAUGUAAAUGUAAAUCGAUUUUAUUUGUAUAUCAAUUCUCG